rnacentral:snRNA from 1 species
GGAUGUGAGGGUGAUAUGCCCAUCACAUCAGUCACCCCAUUGAUCUCCAGGGUUGAUUCAGUUGAUCUGGUUGGCUAGGUGGGUGUCCCCUUCCUCCCUCAGUGCCCCAUGUGAGUCCCUCCCAAAGCUGCACACUCAGUCAAAGAGGACGACCACCCCCAAUAGAGGAGACCUUUCCUUGGUCAAGGGUAUAUGAAUAGCUGCGCUCCCUGCUAGAACCUCCAAACAAGCUCUCAAUUUUGUCAGUGGGUUUGAAGAACUUAUCAAGAAAAUUGUUCGAAUAACAUUAAAGACUUUAAACUUUCUAAAGUGCCAUAGUGA